AAGGAGAUUGCCAAGUGGUUAAAGGCGGUAGAUUGUAAUUCUAUUGGAUUAAGCAAAGUUCUUCGGGGGUUCGAAUCCCUCUCUCCUUA
rnacentral:tRNA from 1 species